UAUUGGAUCUUCUUGUUGAGGCA
rnacentral:piRNA from 1 species